UACGUAGGGUCCAAGCGUUAUCCGGAAUCACUGGGCGUAAAGCGUCCGUAGGUGGUCUGUUAAGUGAGAUGUGAAAGCGUGUGGCUCAACCAUAUCGUUGUGUUUCAUACUGGCAGACUAGAGGGAAGCAGAGGCAAGUGGAAUUGGCAGUGUAGCAGUGAAAUGCGUAGAGAUUGCCAGGAACACCAAUGGCGAAGGCAGCUUGCUGGGCUUCUUCUGACACUGAGGGACGAAAGCGUGGGGAGCGAACAGG
rnacentral:rRNA from 1 species